ensembl:Y_RNA Y_RNA Y RNA
GGCUGGUCCGAUGGUAGUGGGUAUCAGAACUUAUUACCAGUGUCACUAAAGUUGGUGUACAGCCCCCACCCCCAACUGCUAAAUUUGACUGGCUAAAA